AGAAAGUGGCGAACGGGUGAGUAACGCGUGGGUAAUCUACCCUGUUAAGUGGGGGAUAACCCUCCGAAAGGAGGGCUAAUACCGCAUAAUAUCUUCUCCUCUAAAAGAGGUAAAGAUUAAAGAUGGCCUCUAUACUAUGCUAUCACUUCAGGAUGAGCCCGCGUCCUAUUAGUUAGUUGGUGGGGUAAUGGCCUACCAAGACCACAAUGGGUAGCCGGUCUGAGAGGAUGUACGGCCACACUGGGACUGAGAUACGGCCCAGACUCCUACGGGAGGCAGCAGUGGGGAAUAUUGCGCAAUGGGGGAAACCCUGACGCAGCGACGCCGCGUGGAUGAUGAAGGCCUUCGGGUUGUAAAGUCCUGUUCAGGGGGACGAAACCUUAAGGGUCCAAUAGGCCCUUAAGCUGACGGUACCCCAAGAGAAAGCUCCGGCUAAUUAUGUGCCAGCAGCCGCGGUAAUACAUAAGGAGCAAGCGUUGUCCGGAAUUAUUGGGCGUAAAGAGCUCGUAGGCGGUCUUAAAAGUCAGGUGUAAAAUUAUCAGGCUUAACCUGAUAAGGUCAUCUGAAACUCUAAGACUUGAGGAUAGAAGAGGA
rnacentral:rRNA from 1 species